UUAACACAUGCAAGUCGAGGGGCAGCAUGGUCUUAGCUUGCUAAGGCCGAUGGCGACCGGCGCACGGGUGAGUAACGCGUAUCCAACCUGCCUUACACUCUUGGACAGCCUUCUGAAAGGGAGAUUAAUACAAGAUGUUAUCAUGAGUAAGCAUUUUCGCAUGAUUAAAGGUUUACCGGUGUAAGAUGGGGAUGCGUUCCAUUAGAUAGUAGGCGGGGUAACGGCCCACCUAGUCUUCGAUGGAUAGGGGUUCUGAGAGGAAGGUCCCCCACAUUGGAACUGAGACACGGUCCAAACUCCUACGGGAGGCAGCAGUGAGGAAUAUUGGUCAAUGGACGAGAGUCUGAACCAGCCAAGUAGCGUGAAGGAUGAAGGUUCUAUGGAUUGUAAACUUCUUUUAUACGGGAAUAAACGAAUCCACGUGUGGAUUUUUGCAUGUACCGUAUGAAUAAGGAUCGGCUAACUCCGUGCCAGCAGCCGCGGUAAUACGGAGGAUCCGAGCGUUAUCCGGAUUUAUUGGGUUUAAAGGGAGCGUAGAUGGGUUGUUAAGUCAGUUGUGAAAGGUUGCGGCUCAACCGUAAAAUUGCAAUUGAUACUGGCAGUCUUGAGUACAGUUGAGGUAGGCGGAAUUCGUGGUGUAGCGGUGAAAUGCUUAGAUAUCACGAAGAACUCCGAUUGCGAAGGCAGCUUACUAACCUGUAACUGACAUUGAUGCUCGAAAGUGUGGGUAUCAAACAGGAUUAGAUACCCUGGUAGUCCACACGGUAAACGAUGAAUACUCGCUGUAGGCGAUAUACAGUCUGCGGCCAAGCGAAAGCAUUAAGUAUUCCACCUGGGGAGUACGCCGGCAACGGUGAAACUCAAAGGAAUUGACGGGGGCCCGCACAAGCGGAGGAACAUGUGGUUUAAUUCGAUGAUACGCGAGGAACCUUACCCGGGCUUAAAUUGCAACCGAAUAUGGCGGAAACGCUAUAGCUAGCAAUAGCGGUUGUGAAGGUGCUGCAUGGUUGUCGUCAGCUCGUGCCGUGAGGUGUCGGCUUAAGUGCCAUAACGAGCGCAACCCUUGCCGAUAGUUACUAACAGGUCAUGCUGAGGACUCUGUCGGGACUGCCAUCGUAAGAUGUGAGGAAGGUGGGGAUGACGUCAAAUCAGCACGGCCCUUACGUCCGGGGCUACACACGUGUUACAAUGGGGGGUACAGAGGGCUGCUACCACGCAAGUGGAUGCCAAUCCCAAAAACCUCUCUCAGUUCGGAUUGAAGUCUGCAACCCGACUUCAUGAAGCUGGAUUCGCUAGUAAUCGCGCAUCAGCCACGGCGCGGUGAAUACGUUCCCGGGCCUUGUACACACCGCCCGUCAAGCCAUGGGAGCCGGGGGUACCUGAAGUGCGUAAACGCAAGGAGCGCCCUAGGGUAAAACUGGUGACUGGGGCUAAA
rnacentral:rRNA from 1 species